CUCUGGAGUCUUUGGUUCACUUCACAGCACCACUGCCUUCGGAAUAUGGGGCAGUCACAUGAUGAACGAAUGCCUCGAACCUGAAGACUUGAAACGUGAACUAAUCAAAUGUGACGUGACAAAAGAAGAACGACUCGGAUCGGGAGGAGCUGAGUGCUUCCAGAGGCUGGGGGAGGUCCUUUGCUGCACCUUGGGCUUUACUUAAUUAAGGAAUUCACCAGACUUGUGUCGAUGGACCUGAGCAAGUUCUUUUAUGAGGGUCUUGACAAACACGCCUCAAAGCUGCUGUAUUUGUACCGCUCAAGGCGCUAUGCAGACAUCACAGAAAUGAGUGCCACACUGGAGAGCCUGGAUUAAAAUGCAUCAAAUCAACGGAAGAGGGUUGCAGUACAGUUGGGGCUGCCACUGUCCAUGCGGGAGAAUCCAUCUCAGUUCAUAAAGAUCUGUGAGCACACAGAUUCUGAAGAAGAGUCAAUCAAGGGCGUGACUGUUGGAAUCAUUACAGUUGUGGAUGAUGUGAUGGACCCUAUUCCAUGUGACUGCAGUGAUGUACAGUGAGGG